CCUACGGGGUGCAGCAGGCGCGAAACCUCCGCAAUGUGAGAAAUCGCGACGGGGGGAUCCCAAGUGCCAUUCUUAACGGGAUGGCUUUUCAUUAGUGUAAAGAGCUUUUGGAAUAAGAGCUGGGCAAGACCGGUGCCAGCCGCCGCGGUAACACCGGCAGCUCUAGUGGUAGCAGUUUUUAUUGGGCCUAAAGCGUCCGUAGCCGGUUUAAUAAGUCUCUGGUGAAAUCCUGCAGCUUAACUGUGGGAAUUGCUGGAGAUACUAUUAGACUUGAGAUCGGGAGAGGUUAGAGGUACUCCCAGGGUAGAGGUGAAAUUCUGUAAUCCUGGGAGGACCGCCUGUUGCGAAGGCGUCUGACUGGAACGAUUCUGACAGGUGAGGGACGAAAGCUAGGGGCGCGAACCGGAUUAGAUACCCGGGUAGUCCUAGCUGUAAACGAUGCGGACUUGGUGUUGGGGUGGCUUUGAGCUGUCCCAGUGCCGAAGGGAAGCUGUUAAGUCCGCCGCCUGGAAGUACG
rnacentral:rRNA from 1 species